GACGGAGGAUGCAAGCGUUAUCCGGAAUUAUUGGGCGUAAAGCGUCCGCAGGUGGCUGUUCAAGUCUGCUGUCAAAGCGCAGAGCUUAACUCUGUACAGGCGGUGGAAACUGAAGAGCUAGAGUAUGGUAGGGGUAGAGGGAAUUCCCGGUGUAGUGGUGAAAUGCGUAGAGAUGCGGAGGAACACCAGUGGCGAAAGCGGCUUUCUGGUCCUUAACUGACGCUGAGGCGCGAAAGCAUGGGGAGCGAACGGG
rnacentral:rRNA from 1 species